rnacentral:rRNA from 1 species
AUUGAACGCUGGCGGCAGGCCUAACACAUGCAAGUCGAACGGUAGCACAGGAGAGCUUGCUCUCUGGGUGACGAGUGGCGGACGGGUGAGUAAUGCAUGGGGAGCCGCCCAAUCGAGGGGGAUACCAGCUGGAAACGGCUGCUAAUACCGCAUACGCCCUGAGGGGGAAAGGUGGGGACCUUCGGGCCUACCGCGAUUGGAUGCACCCAUGUGGGAUUAGCUAGUUGGUGAGGUAACGGCUCACCAAGGCGACGAUCUCUAGCUGGUCUGAGAGGAUGACCAGCCACACUGGAACUGAGACACGGUCCAGACUACUACGGGAGGCAGCAGUGUGGAAUAUUGAACAAUGGGGGAAACCCUGAUGCAGCCAUGCCGUGUGUGUGAAGAAGGCCUUCGGGUUGUAAAGCACUUUCAGUGGGGAGGAAGGGUUGAUGUCUAAUACGCAUCAACAUUGACGUUACCCACAGAAGAAGCACCGGCUAACUCCGUGCCAGCCGCCGCUGUAAAAC